rnacentral:lncRNA from 1 species
GGCAGAUGAAGGAUUGCCAGAGACAAGCACUGAACAGCAGCAGAAAGCCGGUGACUAUUAACACACACUUCUUGACUUAUAUAUGCAACUGUCAGAUGGGACGAUUCAUCCACUUUGUUCAGAGCCAAAAUAUCCAGCUAUGGAGAGUGCGCCUGGGAAGCCUCUACAUUGGUGUGCAUUUCAAUAAUCUCAAAAACAUCUGCAGUACCCUUCUCCACAGACUCUUCUGACGCAGUUUGAAAAUGUUAUAUAGGUGGGAAAUUUCCGUAGCAGAAUGAAGUAUAAAUACUUAUAAACUCACAAUGAGGACGUGAGGCAAAGCGAUUCAAUCCUACAGUUGGCACUAAAACUUUGGUCCCCUGGAGCAAUUCUGUCAUCUUGACCUGAAUAUGGUUCUUCUAUAUACAUUCUGAAGAAUGGCAGUGUGUGACAGGCUUAUGUCGCUCAUGGGGCCUUUAGUUUAUGCAUUCCUGGCACAGCUCUUGCAGUAGCUCAAAACUCCUGGCAGGUGAGUGAGCCCCUGUGAGUGAGCAGAAGGAACCUCAAAUCACUUGUGCUGGUAAAUAUUGACCAAGCAAUUACUAUGUUUAUGAAGCCACGGCAGGGUGCUGGAGGUACAGCUAAGGACAAAGUAGACAUGGCUCUUCCCAUCUUGAAGCCAGCCAUCUGGUUUGGGGAGGAUUGUUGUUAAGUGGGGCAUCUUGUGAAUCAUUUCAAACUCAGUACUAUAUGUAUGAUACAAUGUAUCACAUGUUAUAUGAGAUGUAUCACCUGGAUUACUCAGAAAAUAAGACAGACACCUGACCUUGGCUGUGGGGGAAAGGUCAUGGAAAGUCAGUCUAAGAGAGGGAAGCUCAGAUGAUGGAUGAGUUAGAUAGGGACCUGUGUGUGUGUGUGUGUGUGUGUGUGUGUGUGUUCUCCUCGGCUGUAAAAAAAGGACUCUGCUAACAAGGCCUUAUCCAAAAACAAACUUGAAGGAGAGGACAUAGGAAGGCAAGUCAUAAGGGCAGGACAUAUCCCUGAGCAAAGGUGGAUAAAAAGCUGGGGAGAGGGACUAUAAAGGGAAAGGGGUCAUUCAAGGUUGUGAAUCAAACAAAGCCUCCUGGAGAGGCUUGCAGAAGAUAGCUUGGGUUGCAUGGGAGAGGGCUGAGAGUGUUUGCUUCCCUGUAUCCACUUGUAACAGGUAAAGCCUCAAACAUUUUCUUCCUGUCCAGGCUAAGAUACAGAAUGCUUCCAUUGUUUCUGUAUUCCAUCAGAGAUCUAUGUAGGCUGCAGGAAGUUUAAGGGCAGUCCACUGCAUGCAGGAAGAUGACAAAAGGAUGCAAGGUUAUGCAGAAGAGCCAAUUGCUACAUAGCAGGUGAAUUCAUGUGGAAUUAAACUGUGCGUGUAAGGAGCUGAGCCAGGGACCUGACAUAGUACUUAAGUGUUCAAUCAAUAUUAGUUCCUGUCAUGGGUGUUUAUCACUAGGCAUCAACAGGCCUAGGACAGGCUUCACUUUGCCCAGUUCGCUCUGCCCACUCUAUCUUCAGGAAACCCUUCCCACCACUCACUGCCAAGUCUCCCGAGACAAACACACAUAUAAAUAGAGCGAUAUAUAUUUUUAUUUCUCAGAACUGUCACAUUUUGCUGAGCUCAUAACAGAAGUGAGCAAAUAGUGCUGUCGUCCUCUGUAAUAAAUCCUAUCACUCAGAGCAGCUUCAUCUCCCUGUCUUCCCAGGCUCCCAGGACUCAGAUAUGAAUACACAUGCUCUUCUGUCCUUAAAUUACAUCUGUACUAACCUGAUAUAGUCUCCAGGCCUCCCUUUUCUGGGCAACAUGGUAGAAUUCUUGGGCCAGAGGAAUCUCCGUCAACUGUUUAUCUUUCUGAGCAAUUAUUUGCUACUUGAGAAAAAAAAAAGAAGUUACUAGUUUAAAUAAAAAAUAAAAAUACAGAUUAAAAAAA